GUAACGGCUUACCAAGGCGACGAGCAGUAGCCGACCUGAGAGGGUGAUCGGCCACAUUGGAACUGAGACACGGUCCAAACGCCUACGGGAGGCAGCAGUGGGGAAUAUUGCACAAUGGGCGAAAGCCGGAUGCAGCAACGCCGCGUGAGUGAUGAAGGCCUUCGGGUCGUAAAACUCUGUCCUCAAGGAAGAUAAUGACGGUACUUGGGGAGGAAGCCCCGGCUAACUACGUGCCAGCAGCCGCGGUAAUACGUAGGGGGCUAGCGUUAUCCGGAUUUACUGGGCGUAAAGGGUGCGUAGGCGGUCUUUCAAGGCAGGAGUGAAAGGCUACGGCUCAACCGUAGUAAGCUCUUGAAACU
rnacentral:rRNA from 1 species